AAACAUUGGUGCAAAGAAACUGCAAAAGGAGCUAGAAGAUAAGUAUCAGGUAUCAAUUGGAUAUUCAACUGUAUGGCUUGGUAGGCAAAAGGCUGCAGAACACAUUUUUGGCACAUGGGAAGAAAGUUUUGGAUACUUGUUCAAUUUUAAGGCAGAGGUUGAGAAAAAAAUGCCGGGAAGUGUUGUAGAGAUAGAAUUGGUACAGAAGGAUGAAGAUGUAUUUUUCCAUAGUUUCUUUUGUUGCUUGAAACCUAGCAUUGAUGGUUUCCUGAAUGGCUGUAGGCCAUACUUGAGCAUUGAUUCAACAGCUCUAAAUGGUAGGUGGAAUGGUCACCUGUUUUCAGCUACGGCACUAGAUGGUCACAACUGGAUGUACCCAGUUGCUUUUGGUUUUUUUGAUGGUGAGACAACUGAGAACUGGACUUGGUUUAUGAGAUAGCUGCAAAAGGCAAUUGGAAAUCCACCUCAUCUAGCUAUUAGUUCAGAUGCUGCAAAGAGUAUUGCAAAUGCUAUACAAGAUGUGUAUCCUUGGGCUGAACAUAGAGAAUGUUGUAUACAUUUGAUGAAGAAUUUUCGGAAGAGGUUCCAAGGGCCAGCAUUUGGAAGAAUGUAUCCUGCAGCAAGAACUUUCCAGCCACAAUAUUAUGAGGCAGAGGUGACAGAAGUCACUCCUAAGCACAAGAUCAUAAGACAUGUGGUGAAUCUUAAAAGUCAUGAAUGCACCUGCAGAGAGUGGCAAGUCUCAAGAAAACCAUGUCCACAUGCUUUGGCCCUCAUCACUACAAUAAGAAACCCAAAUAUAGAAAGCUACUUGCAUCCUUACUACUCAGUGUACCAUUUCAGACUAGCCUACUCUGGUGUCAUCAAACCGUUGCCUGACAAGUCCCAGUGGCCUCAUGUGGAUCUUGGCUUCAAGGUCUUGCCGCCGUGUCCAAGAGAGAAGUUGGCCGGCAAAGAAAAAAUAGAUAUCCAAGCUGCUUGGAAGACAAAGGCAACAAACCUAGAGGCAAAGGGGCCUGGCAGGUUCAGUGCAAGAAUUGCUUUCAAUUUGGACAUAGGACUACAUCACCAAAGUGCCCGCUAAAUGGAACUAAGAAGAGGAAGAGCCGUGCUAAAAAAAGGGAAGGCUGGGAGGCCACCUGGUAGUAGCAAGGAAGGUGCAAGUACAUCAAAAAGACAGAGGGUUUAGGAGCAAGAAUGUUCAUUCAGCACAGCACAAAGACGGUGCCACCGUCAGCACACCACAAGAAGGUGCCACCGCCCCUACAGAAAGCCAACAAGUGAUGUUGACAGAGGGUGUGACAACAAGCAGUACUCCAAAAAGUAAGAAGAAGGCAGCUUUUAAGAAGAAACUCCAACUAAAAAGAAGCUAGCUACCAAGAAGAAACUGUGAAGACCUUUUCAUGUGAUGCUUUUGUAUUUUGAUACACACAGCACCUGUUAUGCUUGUGUGCUACCACCUAUUAUGCUUUUGUGUGGUCCUAGACACAGCACCUAUUAUGCAUAUUUUCAGAAUAUGUUAUUGUAUUUUCAGAACCAUGUCAUUCUAUUUUCAGGACCUAUCUUUGUAUUUUCAGAACCAUGUCAGAAUGUCAGACUCUGUGUGAGAACAUGUCAAGUUUAUUGGCUCA